rnacentral:rRNA from 1 species
CAUGCAAGUCGAGGGGCAGCGGGAUUGAAGCUUGCUUCAAUUGCCGGCGACCGGCGCACGGGUGAGUAACGCGUAUCCAACCUUCCGUACACUCAGGGAUAGCCUUUCGAAAGAAAGAUUAAUACCUGAUGGUAUGAUGAGAUUGCAUGAUAGCAUCAUUAAAGAUUUAUCGGUGUACGAUGGGGAUGCGUUCCAUUAGGUAGUAGGCGGGGUAACGGCCCACCUAGCCAACGAUGGAUAGGGGUUCUGAGAGGAAGGUCCCCCACAUUGGAACUGAGACGCGGUCCAAACUCCUACGGGAGGCAGCGGUGAGGAAUAUUGGUCAAUGGACGAGAGUCUGAACCAGCCAAGUAGCGUGAAGGAUGAAGGUCUUACGGAUUGUAAACUUCUUUUAUAAGGGAAUAAAACCUCCCACGUGUGGGAGCUUGUAUGUACCUUAUGAAUAAGCAUCGGCUAACUCCGUGCCAGCAGCCGCGGUAAUACGGAGGAUGCGAGCGUUAUCCGGAUUUAUUGGGUUUAAAGGGAGCGCAGACGGGUCGUUAAGUCAGCUGUGAAAGUUUGGGGCUCAACCUUAAAAUUGCAGUUGAUACUGGCGUCCUUGAGUGCGGUUGAGGUGUGCGGAAUUCGUGGUGUAGCGGUGAAAUGCUUAGAUAUCACGAAGAACUCCGAUUGCGAAGGCAGCACACUAAGCCGUAACUGACGUUCAUGCUCGAAAGUGUGGGUAUCAAACAGGAUUAGAUACCCUGGUAGUCCACACGGUAAACGAUGGAUACUCGCUGUUGGCGAUAUACGGUCAGCGGCUUAGCGAAAGCGUUAAGUAUCCCACCUGGGGAGUACGCCGGCAACGGUGAAACUCAAAGGAAUUGACGGGGGCCCGCACAAGCGGAGGAACAUGUGGUUUAAUUCGAUGAUACGCGAGGAACCUUACCCGGGCUUAA